UUAUCCCCUCACGCACCACACAUUUUUCUUGGUUAUCCAUUCAUGCCCACCAUUCAUCCCGUGCACCUCUCUCUCCCCUCUGGCCUACCUUCAAUCAAUAGCUUGCCGGCGAUGGAAGAGGUGUGUGGCGAGCUGCGGUCCUGGGGCUGCACACAUGAAGCUGCGGAUGUGCGGGAGCACCACUCUCGCUGAGCACGGACGCACGGUGCCAAAGCUACAUCGACAACUUGGUGUUUCCACUUUUCAACCUAAUACGUCGACGGUAGGAUGGUAUGCUGCAACCAACGGCCCCUACUACUACGACCAACGAGGUGGUCUCUGCCGUGAAGAUGGAUGACGGCUGCGGCGAUUUUUGUGCUGGAACCCACGACUGCCUCUACAUCAACCGGCCAGCCAUUUUGCUGGAACCAGCAUCGAUCCUUUUGCCAGACACGUCAGUGCAAACCGACCAUUGCGGCGAGCCGGAACCAGAGCAUGGCGAUGAGCUAGAACUGGCGAGCUUGCUUUGCUGCAACCAGCCGCAGGCUGCUAGGAUAAGCAGGGCCAGAAGCUGGAACAGGCGUCCAAAUUUGCUAGAACGGGAGAUCUGGAUUGUUGCAUCGUUCGCCACAUAGGGGAACUACGAAGUUGGCGAGCUGGAAUCGGCGGCCAAUUUUGCUGGAGCCGGCAUCUCGGCAAGCUGGAACCAUCUGACGGCAGGCGAUGGCUGAAUGGCUGAUUCGACGCUGACGGUGUUUUGCUGUGAGCAGUGAUGGAAAAGCUUUUCACGGGAACCACUGAAGGCCAAGGCCCAGCACAGCCAGACCGGCCCAGGAGGUCUGCCAAGCCUAACCGACGAGUGGUUGGGCCAAUGUGGAGCAAGUGAGGCUACUUAAGGCGCGUGCGAGCAACCAACUAGGGUAUCGAUAGAUCACAGACUGAACCGGCGCCGUUGGGCGAUGUAUCCCUCCUCCUCCUCCGGGCUCUCGUCUCCCAAUCCCCUUCUUGCUGAUGAACCCUAGGACACUAUUGUACCACUGAUUUGGCUGAGUGAGAAUAAAUCGAACUACCUAGACCCUAGAUUCGUAUCA